AUGGAGGAUGUCGCAUCGGGAUCGGGACAGGCGGUCUCCGAUCUGGAGGCGAUGAUGGAGGAGUUAGGAUUGAAAGAGGACGAUCUUCAAGACGUUGUGAUCGAGGACGAAGAGCUACCGGUGGAGACGACGCGGUGGAUGGCAAUUGCUAGGGUUCACACCGAAAAACCCUAUAGCCAAUACUGGUUUUUCAGAAACAUGAGGGUCGCAUGGGAUUUGGCGAAGGAGGUAAAGAUCCGCCCCCUCGAAGAUAACUUGUACACAAUGCAAUUUGGCUGCCUCGGUGACUGGGAG
rnacentral:rRNA from 1 species